rnacentral:rRNA from 1 species
CAACCUGAGAGUUUGAUCCUGGCUCAGAGCGAACGCUGGCGGCAGGCCUAACACAUGCAAGUCGAACGAACUCUUCGGAGUUAGUGGCGGACGGGUGAGUAACACGUGGGAACGUGCCUUUUGGUUCGGAAUAACUCAGGGAAACUUGUGCUAAUACCGAAUGUGCCCUUCGGGGGAAAGAUUUAUCGCCAUUAGAGCGGCCCGCGUCUGAUUAGCUUGUUGGUGGGGUAAUGGCCCACCAAGGCUACGAUCAGUAGCUGGUCUGAGAGGAUGACCAGCCACAUUGGGACUGAGACACGGCCCAAACUCCUACGGGAGGCAGCAGUGGGGAAUCUUGCGCAAUGGGCGAAAGCCUGACGCAGCCAUGCCGCGUGUAUGAUGAAGGUCUUAGGAUUGUAAAAUACUUUCACCGGUGAAGAUAAUGACUGUAGCCGGAGAAGAAGCCCCGGCUAACUUCGUGCCAGCAGCCGCGGUAAUACGAAGGGGGCUAGCGUUGCUCGGAAUUACUGGGCGUAAAGGGAGCGUAGGCGGACAUUUAAGUCAGAGGUGAAAUCCCGGAGCUUAACUUCGGAACUGCCUUUGAUACUGGGUGUCUUGAGUGUGAGAGAGGUAUGUGGAACUCCGAGUGUAGAGGUGAAAUUCGUAGAUAUUCGGAAGAACACCAGUGGCGAAGGCGACAUACUGGCUCAUUACUGACGCUGAGGCUCGAAAGCGUGGGGAGCAAACAGGAUUAGAUACCCUGGUAGUCCACGCCGUAAACG